GAUGAAGAACGUAGCGAAAUGCGAUAAGUAAUGUGAAUUGCAGAAUCCAGUGAAUCAUCGAAUCUUUGAACGCACAUUGCGCCCGCCAGCAUUCUGGCGGGCAUGCCUGUUCGAGCGUCAUUUCAACCCUCGACCUCCCUUUGGGGAAGUCGGCGUUGGGGACCGGCAGCACACCGCCGGCCCCGAAAUGAAGUGGCGGCCCGUCCGCGGCGACCUCUGCGUAGUAAUCCAACUCGCACCGGAACCCCGACGUGGCCACGCCGUAAAACCCCCGACUUCUGAACGUUGACCUCGGAUCAGGUAGGAAUACCCGCUGAACUUAAGCAUAUCAAUAAGCGGAGGA
rnacentral:misc_RNA from 1 species